AGCACGCUCCUUAGAUCCACCUCUGGAGGGCGCUGCUCUGUGAGCAGAGCUCCUCAGCAGCUUCCUGGCUGUACAGUUGGAGGUGCUUGAGUCA
rnacentral:snoRNA from 1 species